AGUAUAUGGAGAAAGUAUUGUUUUCGUCAACAUUUUCGAGUUUGAGUUUUGAGUGGAUAUAUUCGUUUUGGGUCCCCCUGGACCCAAAAAAGUGGUUUUUGAAGUGAUGUCUGUGUGUGUGUGUGUGUGUCUGGAUGUGUACAGAGCUAGAGACUACACCUGCUGUGGUCCGAUUUUGCUGAAAUUUGCUGCAGUUUUUUAAUACGGACAAAAUGAGAGCAUUCUAUUGGCUGAAGGAACACCAUUACCGCAACGAUACGGUGUUUGAGCCAUCGUCCUCGGUGGUCAAAUGGAUAACGUGCCAGGUAUAUGUGCCAGAGAGAUACAGCCCCAGGAACAGAGAGCACAGAGUAAUCCCCAAAACAGCCAACGGACAACUCUUGGGCGACCUUCGGAGUAAGUGAGCAAUGUACUGCCAGCCUGCACUCCCAACAUUACUUGUACUACCGAGGUCAAGCAACCUGCACAGUCAUAAAUAUACGUGGAUACAGUAGGCUACAUGUAGUCAAGUUAAAAGUUUUAAUCAAUUUAUUUCUUUUACAACUUCAUUUACUUUUAUAUUAUUUAACUUUCAUGUGACUACACCCAGUAACAUUCACAAAGGGCUAUCAUACGUUGGUGUAUUAUUUCUUAACACCUAUUAUAAAAUCCCUUUAAUAUUUUAUUUUUUGGAUUAAAUCUAUAGUUACCCAAGAAUCCUUCUGGAUCAAAAGGAGCAGUGUGAUAAACCUCGCUAACUGUUGAUCUCUGGAACAGAUGACUUUCCCCCACCAACAGUUGAUCUAUGUAUCGGCUAAUUCCUCCAGUGCAGUUGGAGAAGAUGCCCAUGUCUUGGAUACCUCCUGCAUCUAUGUACCCUCUAGCCAACAGAAGUUAAACUCAUGGUGGAUGGAGUGAAAGGUCGAUUUUCAAAAAUAGACAUGCUUAGGCCUAUGUUUAAUAUUGAACAUAACUUUCUGUGAAACCUACUAUAUUCUUUGUCAUUAUUAUUACCUAUUAUUUUUAAGUUUACAUGUAUUUUUAUUAUUAGUACUGGGGGACCGAGCCUUGCUCGGUUUGAUCAGACACAUUUUAUCAUUAACAAAAAUAGUUUUAUUACAAACCAAAAAAAUUAAUCGCUGAAAUAAUAUCAACUGUGUAAUCUGUGUCUAAUUACACCCGUUUCAUAAAUCAUAGCAUUUAGAUUAUUUACAGUACCGUGACUUGAGUAAUAACAUUUUGUUUUAAUAUUAACCACUGACAUAACUGUACUUACACUUCU